CACUUGAGCCUGGGAGGUUGAGGCUGCGGUGAGCCAAGAUUGAGCCACUGCACUCCAGCCUGGGUGACAAAGAAAGACCCUGUCGAAGAAGAAGAAGCAGCAGCAGCAGAAAAAGAAGAAGAAGAAGAAGCAGAAGAAGCAGAAGAAGAAGCAGAAGAAGAAGAAGCAGAAGAAGAAGAAGAAGAAACAAAGGGGAGGAUGCAACUUGGAGAGGCCCAGCCCCUAGGAGAAAGCCUAACUGCAGUAAAGGAGUCCUGGAGACAGGACAAGAAUGAAGUCAAUGAAGCAUAGCAGGAGUGGAGAUAAAGACGCGCAUGAAAUUUGGUGCUGUGACUCGGAUUGGGGGACCUCCCUUGGGAGAUCAAUCCCCUGUACUCCUGUUCUUUGCUCCGUGAGAAAGAUCCACCUAUGAUCUCAGGUCCUCAGACCGACCAGCCCAAGGAACAUCUCACCAAUUUUAAAUCAGAUGAAGAAACUGGGGCUCUGAAUGGCAUAUUAACGCGUGCAGCUCCAGACAGCGAGGAAGUGAUGGCAACUCUAUCCGAACUCAAAUCUGCCAGACCUAUACCAGUAGGUGCCUGUGUGCAGUUGGGGACUCACCUCUGCCAGUGCUGGCAUGAGCUAGCUGUCUUGAACUGAAAACAGACACUCAAAGAUGGGCUGUGGGAUCCCAGAGAGGUGGCAGAAUGGUCAAAGCUAUGAAGCCAACAGCUGCUGCCAACAAGAAAGUCCUGAGCCCUGAGUGAUUGUAAUUUAAACUUAAUGCUGGGAGUGGGUGUUUAUUUUGGAGGAGUGGGCUGCUUAUUUUUGGUUUGGGGACUUGUUCAUUCAUCUUUUCUCAGCGGCGCCUACUGCUGCCCUGGCCCGAAGUUAAAGCUCAAUAAAUCACUGUUGCACAACUGA
rnacentral:lncRNA from 1 species